rnacentral:rRNA from 1 species
GAUCCUGGCUCAGGAUGAACGCUAGCUACAGGCUUAACACAUGCAAGUCGAGGGGAAACGACAUUGGAAGCUUGCUUCCGAUGGGCGUCGACCGGCGCACGGGCGAGUAACGCGUAUCCAACCUGCCCACCACUUGGAGAUAACCUUGCGAAAGUAAGACUAAUACCCAAUGACGUCUCUAGAAGACAUCUGAAAGAGAUUAAAGAUUUAUCGGUGAUGGAUGGGGAUGCGUCUGAUUAGCUUGUUGGCGGGGUAACGGCCCACCAAGGCAACGAUCAGUAGGGGUUCUGAGAGGAAGGUCCCCCACAUUGGAACUGAGACACGGUCCAAACUCCUACGGGAGGCAGCAGUGAGGAAUAUUGGUCAAUGGGCGAGAGCCUGAACCAGCCAAGUAGCGUGCAGGACGACGGCCCUAUGGGUUGUAAACUGCUUUAUAAGGGAAUAAAGUGAGUCUCGUGAGACUUUUGCAUGUACCUUAUGAAUAAGGACCGGCUAAUUCCGUG